rnacentral:rRNA from 1 species
UACGAAGGUGGCGAAUGUUGCUCGGAUUCACUGGGCGUAAAGCGUCGGUAGGUGGUUUAUUAAGUCAGAGGUGAAAGCCCCGCGCUCAACGUGGGAAUUGCCUUUGAAACUGGUGAACUUGAAGAUAUGAGAGGAUGGCGGAAUGACUGGUGUAGAGGUAAAAUUCAUAGAUAUCAGUCGGAACACCCAAGGCGAAGGCAGCUAUCUGGCAUAUUCUUGACACUGAGCGACGACAGCGUGGGGAGCAAACAGG